ensembl:lncRNA
CCCAGACCAUCCACUAAGGAGAAGCUAGAGCGGGUAUAAAAUCCACAUAGUCGUUGGGCUAAUAAGGAAUUCAUGGACAAUGUAUUCCAGGAGAAGCAAACAGCAGAGGGCUUCAACUUAUGAAGAAAAAGGCGGCUCAGCAGUUCAUCAUAAGUUGAAGACGUAGCAUUUAUAAGCGAGUAAAUUGAGUCUUUGACUUACUCCCUGCAAAUGGAACUGUCUCACAAAGCGGCACCUCUUUCACGCCAAACGCGUCAUUCUUCGUGACCGAACACUUAGGUUUCCAACAGCAGAACUCGGUGCCUGCGGUGCUGACCACCCUGGCUCAUUCCCGACCGUCGCAUGCAACUGAAGCUUGUGAUGCUCAGACUCAACUUGUCAUUUCUGUUUCAAGUGGAUGAAAACUAUUUACGCAUGCGUUCCGGAGCCACGCCGUCUUAUUUACUCCUUUCUGGUCAUUCUAGAGCAGAGUGGGCUUUAAAGAGAAGUGAGACAGAGCGUGCUACGGCCACCAGGCGCCAGCUCGGGAAGACCUUGGAGUCUUUAUCCCGCUGGCGACGUCACUCAGAGCAGAAGACUCACCAUGGUAAGGGGUUGUGUGUGGUCUGUCCUGCCCCAGUUCAGCCGCUGUGUCCCAGGACCCGCACCAGUUACAUGCAGAGGGAAGUCCUUAUACACUUCUUAAAUUGAGUCCAAACCGAGUAUAGAAAUCAAUUACUUUUCAAUACCACUGUGACUAUCAAUCCAACAUCUUAUGGCUGAGCAUCCCUUGCUGUUCCCGGCUCUGUCUUCAGCCAUUAAACAGAGGAAAUUGUUGGGAGAGCGGGGAGGGACCAG